CCGCACUCGCACCGCCCCCUUCCCCUUCCUCUCGCCUCACCUCUCUCUCCUUCCAAAUCUCCUCCCGGCCUCGCCUCUUCCUUCCUUCUCCUCCGGCGCCUCCUUCCCAUUGGCUCCUUCUUUCCCCUCCUCCGCCGGUCCUCCUUCUCCUACGUCACCCGGAGGGGUGCAGCUGCCGCUUGCGCUGUAGCUCCCCCUACGAGCUCGCGCGCCUGAUCCGACGGUAGGAAGGGGCCGCGGCAGCCGCCGCACAACCUGGCGACCAGGAGCUCCCCGGCGUGGUCCCCUGGAUGGAGGGAUGCUUCCUCCAUCACUGCCUUCUCCGUGUCGAUGCCAUCAGUAGCGGCGACGGUCAGGCUGAUGCGACGCGGCUGCAAGCUCGUCGUGAGAGCAGCGGCAAUGACAAGCUCACCACUCCUUCCUGCUGCGCCUGCUAGACCUCCAGGACAACUUUGAACAACUUGUGUGUCCCUCUCAGAUUCCUACAGAAGAAAUGAUACAUUUUCUUUUCUAUUGGAUGGACAACAACAUAACCACAACAAUAGGUCUAUCAGAAGAAGCAGGAGCGAAGCAAAGGCAGGAUUCCAUGGUGAGUUUGGAGUUUACCCUCUGUUGAAAUUGGCUAUCAUGCGAGUGGCGACCUUUUCUUAGCCAUGAUUGCCACCAUAUUUGUGAGCCUUUUGGUACGUCACUCAUAGAAUAAAUAUAAUGGACUUGAGUGGUGGAUUGAGUAACUUCCGAAAUGGACCUCAUUAUCUUGGUUUCUCCUUUCACGACAUGAUGGUGUUGGAUGUGGCAUGACUUUGUGUAAGGAACUGAUGGUCUCUGAGGGCAGGGCAGACAACAUGUGCCGUCAACCGUCGACAGUUCAGCUGUCACCAAAUGAGCAGCUUGCUGCUGAAGAAACCUUCAAGUUGUACUGCAAGCCAGUUGAGCUCUGCAAUGUUAUCCAAAAACGACCCCUUGAUAAUCCUGCUUUUCUACAACUCCUUUACAUGAUACAGACAAGCUGCACAAAGAUGAUAGGUACUCGUGUGUUCUCUGGUAACCAAAGGGAUUCAACAAUUACAUAGUGAUGUUUUGUAUUGUGAAAUUCUUCCCUGUCUGACAUAGAACAAUUAAUACGAGGGCAGGGUGUCUUUUUGCUACAGAUAUUUGCUUGUCGAAGAUCUCGGGACACUCGGAUCGUUUCUUGGUGGCUGCUAAUGAAUCAUGUAAGGAUGGCGCAGAAUUCACCAGAGGAAAAAGAACGAACUACGGAGUUUCCCCAUUGUUAGAGCUCUUGGUGCUCGGACAAGCCCUCUAUCUCGAUUCUCCCUUCGCAGCUCAGCUCCACUGACCAGAUGGCGAUGGCUGACGAAGAGCUCGAUGUCCAUGACUCGUCAGGUUCCGCUGGCUCCACUAACAACCGUCUACGGGCGCUUUCACGGGAUAGCAAGCGAGUGUUUAGGAUCCCACACCGGGCAUUUCUUGACAUGCUCCUAGCACACCUUCGCUAAUCACCGGCUCAGUAUGUUUGUGUUGUACAUGACGACGGCAAGAUCUGUGUGACCAUCUUUUUCAACACCUCUACAUUGGAUCUUGGAGGACCAAUCAUUAUGAACGCGUCGUGUCGUCAUUCCUCCUGGUCUACAUUAUGCCCAAGACAUGCAAAGUUGUGGAUUGUCUGUAAGCUACCAAGUGCUUUUAAGGCACGAAGGUCGUCCACGAGGUGUCUCAAGGUGAACUCCAUGGUACCCGAUCAAGUGGCUGGAGGGAACGGUGUAUGCUCACAAGCUACGUGAUUUAGCUGUGCUUCUGACUAUAUGUGUGCUCAUGGCCUCAUGGGUUCUGAAUUCUCAUAUAGCUGUGCUGGCUAUAUUUGGGUUUCUAUAGACCAAUUUGUUUCACCCGGACAAGAAUCCCACGAACCUUAAUGUGGCCUUUAAGUUUUAGGGAAAAGCAGGUGCCCACGCAAUGGUUUCCAGUUAUAAACCAAGCUGUUUAAAAAUGAUCAGGGAUAAUACGAUCAACCCAACUGUUAGAUUUAGGAUGCUUUUUGGAAUCGACUCAUGAAGAUGAUGGCUAGCCUGCACGAACAUUUGUAUCUUCUGAAUAAAUGAUUCAGAUAGUCUACAAGAAAGGUAAAUAAUUAUAGGGAAUAUAUGUACGUUGCUCACACAAUAUCCAGUUACUGUCAGCAAACUUGCUUGGCGGCCAUGCCGCCGACAACAUGUGGAUGAAAAUGCAGCUCACCGACAGCGAUGGAGCACCGACGUGCGUGCCCCAGCGGUCUGACGCCGCCGGCUCGACCUACUUCGCUAGCAGCAUCGAGGAGGACGUGGAGCUCCUAGCCUCCCGAGCUUCCGCGGGGCUCGUUUCGGCAGGCCGCCAUGGUUGCAGUAUAGAAACCCUUACUGCCAUAUACAUGCCCUUUUUUCCUCCCCGUCACUUCCACGGAUGAAAAUUGUAACAAACUCCUCUUCAAACACGUGAACUCGGCCAUGGCUUCCGCCCUCCGAGUCCAGUUACCUUAUGUACAAUCUUACCUGCUGGCAUCAUGUACAAUCUUAUUGGCUGGAAUCAUAUAGUUAUCAGAGUAUCACUUUUUGAUUUGGAACUGUCAAGUUUUUCAGCAGCCAUUAUAUAUUUAGCUGCUCAUCUUCCCACCUGGUGUUAUAGCCCUGCACAUAUCUGAAGGAAAAUAUGGUCCAUGAGUGACCUUGUGAUGAAAAUCUUCAUCGAUGGUUCAAUGAAGAUUCAUCAAAUUUCAUUUUGUUGUUUUUCCUGUGGAGGUGAUUAUCAUUGAAAAGCAUUAUUCUUUUAAUGGAUGUUACUUGCCAUCUCGGAUGGCUCUUUAUAUUUUCAAAAUUGUUUGUAAACCAUGGAUGGGACUUCAUUGCCUGCAAAACAUGGAUUAGACUUAUUUCGGCAUAGGCAGUGCGCAAAUUCACAUGAUAUGCAUUGUACUAUUGCUUAUUCUUCAGCCAAUCAUUAAUAUAGUUCUUUUUGUAUGUGUCUCUGUAUUGACCUCAUACGCAUUUUGCCAGUAUAUAUAAAGAUAACAAUAUGCAGAUUCAGUGAUCUCUAUGUAGAAAUUUUGUAUGUUCUCUUUUAGUAAUUAUGAGGAUCAUCAAUAUUCAAUAUUAGAUGACACAUUGGUCACAACAUUCAGUAAAUGUGUUAAUCCUAAUAAAUCAUGGACGGUUGCUGAUUCUAGAUAUUGAUAGAAUGCUAAUAAAUUACACCCUUGAGCAAUAUGAGAGUAUUUAAAUUUUGAUGGACAGUCCAUGAUUCCGGCACAGUACACAAACUCUUUUAAAAUCCGGUUUGCAUUUUUUUGUACUGGAGUUAAACCUAUCCAGCGUGUUCGUGAACAUGAAGUCUGCUUCAGUAUAUAUCAAUUGGAAGUAGGAUUGUGUGGCUCUGCCUGUAUGUUUCCAUUUUGCAAACACAGUUUAUGCCUGACAUUUGUGUCUCUUUAUUUAUGCAGAACUAUUCCAGAGCUCAAGCCAUCAGGUACGCUUUAGAUACAAACUCUCGCUGAACUUAGUUUCCAUGUAGUGUUAAAUUCCGGUGAACUAUAUCUCACUCCAUGCAUGCUGCCUACCCCUUUGUCGCAAACACAAAGUUGCAUGAGACCAGACUGAUUAGGUAUACUUUGUUACUGACUGCUUGGUUCAUGGAUUAAGCAUGGACACUAGGAAAUUGGGAGUUGUAGAAGGAGGAAAGGAGAAGAGAAGAGAAAAGAAGAAAUAUGACUUAUUUCAUUGGAUUCGCGGCUGUUUGAUUCCUUUUUGCUGCAAGGAUAGAUCUCCGUGUUGACCACAUAUUCAGUAAUAGGUCAAAAGGUUAUUUUAAAUUCAAGAAAUAAUUUGGUUCAUAAUUUGGUUGUGGCACCCAAAUGAAAGCUGUAGACUUGAUCGACAUCUUUCCAAGAAUAUUAAGUAUCUGCAAUUCAGAAUAAUGAUAUUCAAGAUAUCACCAAACAUAUUUCUAUGUUGGAGGAUUUUUAAUACUAGAGGAUUUUCUGCUUUACAAGAAUUAGUGUACUUCCAGGAAGAACCAGUUUUGGCCACCACAUGAAAGUUGCAAAUGAUCUCCUUCUGAUAUUCAUACUAUUCUCAUUUGCUUGAUUUGGUGAAGUGCAUUAAAACUUACAGUAUAGGGCAGAUAUGUUUAGAAUGGUUUCAAUGUUAAGUGAAAGAAAGGAAGACAUGAUUUCAGUAUCUUGAUGAGAGCCAAAUGUAACAUGCUGAUGAAUAACAUCUUUUAUAUUGUUGGGACAUGUCUUUGGCCUCGCAUUACUUGACUCCGCGGCUGGUUUGUAGACCCGCAUCUUCUCUUCUUCUUUUAGGUUCAUCAGAGGAGCGACACUGCCUGUGGGUCGUGGACAAAGCGGCUGCUACUUCCAGCUUCGAUUUUUUGCUGAUCAGUUCCCAGUGAUGGGAUUAUGGUGUUUUGUCUGACUUCUCCUGAAAUGAUUUUUGUUUUUGUUUUUGGUAUCGAUGGUAAAUUUAGGAUAACAGGGACAAUGUUACUGCCAUACCGGCAGGUGUUGGACAUGAUUCUCAAAGAAGAUACAGAUGUGCAUGCUUCAC